GCAGUACCUGUACUAAAGGA
rnacentral:sgRNA from 1 species